GACGAACCGUCCUAACGUUGUUCGGAAUCACUGGGCUUAAAGGGCGCGUAGGCGGGUUCCCAAGUCGGUGGUGAAAUCUUUCGGCCCAACCGGAAAACAGCCGCCGAUACUGGGAGUCUUGAGGGAGGUAGGGGUCGAUGGAACUUCCGGUGGAGCGGUGAAAUGCGUAGAUAUCGGAAGGAACGCCGGUGGCGAAAGCGAUCGACUGGACCUUUUCUGACGCUGAGGCGCGAAAGCUAGGGGAGCAAACAGG
rnacentral:rRNA from 1 species